CCUACGGGAGGCAGCAGUGGGGAAUUUUGGACAAUGGACGCAAGUCUGAUCCAGCCAUGCCGCGUGCGGGAAGAAGGCCUUCGGGUUGUAAACCGCUUUUGUCAGGGAAGAAACGAGUUUCUCUAAUACAGAGACUUAAUGACGGUACCUGAAGAAUAAGCACCGGCUAACUACGUGCCAGCAGCCGCGGUAAUACGUAGGGUGCAAGCGUUAAUCGGAAUUACUGGGCGUAAAGCGUGCGCAGGCGGUUAUGCAAGACAGAUGUGAAAUCCCCGGGCUCAACCUGGGAACUGCAUUUGUGACUGCAUGGCUAGAGUACGGUAGAGGGGGAUGGAAUUCCGCGUGUAGCAGUGAAAUGCGUAGAUAUGCGGAGGAACACCGAUGGCGAAGGCAAUCCCCUGGACCUGUACUGACGCUCAUGCACGAAAGCGUGGGGAGCAAACAGGAUUAGAUACCCUGGUAGUCCACGCCCUAAACGAUGUCAACUGGUUNUUGGGAGGUUUCUNUCAGUACGAAGCUAACGCGNGAGUAGACGCGNGGNGUAAGGUCGCGAGUUAGUAGUUAGAAGAAGAGNGNGNGAGAGNGCGAGACGACGACGAGGAGGAGG
rnacentral:rRNA from 1 species